rnacentral:lncRNA from 1 species
GGACGGCGACCGUCGAGACGAACGAGCACACUCGCCUGGACUUCAGAUCAGGUGUGGCCGUGUGGGGUUCCCGGGCCUCGCGCGAAGACUUGAUUGGGUCCGCGAGGAUGAGAAGGCCGGCGGCCGGCGGCCGACGGUAGAUCUGAGCUGAACUUUUUCUUUAAAGUGCUAUGUGAUCGACAGGGAGGCGGCCCAUCGCCCACAAUGUGGGCUGAAGCGAUUUUGCCGGGUAAACGAUUAUGACUGCCUUGCUGUUUUUUGUUUGGAGCCCCGCACUUUUGUUUUCAGGUGGGGCGGCUAGUAGCAACCCCACAAUCACAUCAUCACAUGCCAUUUAAAAAUAACAAAUGUCUACAUUUCAGGCCAAACGUGUAG